rnacentral:rRNA from 1 species
GACGAACGCUGGCGGCGUGCCUAACACAUGCAAGUCGAACGGACUGAUGGAGCUUGCUCCUGAGGUUAUUGGCGAACGGGUGAUUAACGCGUGAGCAACCUGCCUUUCAGAGGGGGACAACGGUUGGAAACGACCGCUAAUACCGCAUAAUACAGAGAGACCGCAUGAUUUUUCUGUCAAAGAUUUUAUCGCUGAAAGAUGGGCUCGCGUCUGAUUAGAUAGUUGGUGGGGCAACGGCCUACCAAGUCGACGAUCAGUAGCCGUACUGACAGGUUGAACGGCCACAUUGUGACUGAGAUACGGCCCAGACUCCUACGGGAGGCAGCAGUGGGGAAUAUUGGGCAAUGGGGGAAACCCUGACCCAGCAACGCCGCGUGAAGGAAGAAGGCCUUCGGGUUGUAACUUCUUUUACCAGGGACGAAGGACGUGACGGUACCUGGAGAAAAAGCCACGGCUAAUUACGUGCCAGCAGCCGCGGUAAUACGUAGGUGGCAAGCGUUGUCCGGAUUUACUGGGUGUAAAGGGCGUGUAGGCGGAGCAGCAAGUCAGAAGUGAAAUCUCCGGGCUUAACCCGGAAACUGCUUUUGAAACUGUUGCCCUUGAGUAUCGGAGAGGCAGGCGGAAUUCCUAGUGUAGCGGUGAAAUGCGUAGAUAUUAGGAGGAACACCAGUGGCGAAGGCGGCCUGCUGGACGACAACUGACGCUGAGGCGCGAAAGCGUGGGGAGCAAACA